CUUCUAAAUGGCUCUUUGAUAACAAUACUAUGUGCAAAUAUCCACCUAAAAAAGAUAAACUUAAAACUACCCGUUUGAUUCUGUCAAGAAUCGACCCAGGACAAGAUUGGGAUAUUUAUAAUCUUCGAUUGCAUCAUUAUUAUAAUACUUACAAUGCUGCUCUCAAAGCGGCUAAAACUGUUCUAGAGGGAGAAGUUGCUCGGUCAGAUGUGGAAACAGAUUAUGACCAACCAAGAAAGAAAAAAAGAAUAAAAAAUAUAUGUCCUCUUUAGAAGAUGAAAAAUUAGAUAAUCCUGCAUUACAUAUCCCUUGUGGUACAAGCAGUGAAAUACUUGCUCCAAAUUCUCUUCUUCCAAAUAAAUUCAAAAAACUUAUUAAAAAUAAAUCAGUGAAAAUAUCUACUAAACAGUUAAUAGAAAAAGACAUAUCUAUAGGAAAAUCAUUAUCUUGUAACGAAUCAAGUAUUAAGUCAUUAGGCCAUUUAAAGUUAACUCACCAUAACAUUACAUUAGAGGAAAAUCCGAUAAAGCUGCAUUCUUUACUAAAUGAGACUGUACAACAAAAUUAUUGUUCUAAAGAUUGUUGUUACGUCCUAGAGGAGGAGCACAACUUUCCGUUCGCGAGUAAGGCGAACCUCGUUCGUAACCGCGUACCAAUGAACGGGUUAGGGACCCGACGGGUCCCUUUACUCGGACACAGACGUACGACGAACGGUCCGUUUUUCGAUCAAGGACGCGAGUCCCUUUACCGGGGAUAGGACCAUGAGUUGACUGUCGAAGGUUUAUUAAGAUGAAUAGCGACCCAAAAUGAUGUAAUUGAAUGGUUUGAACAUGACAAUUAUACUUAGAUGAAUGAGUGUGUAUGAGUGUAUGAAAUGGAAAAAGAAAGGGAUGGAAAAGGGAACGAAUAUGAAUAGGAAGUUCAAGGGUGGAAUAAAUAAAAUAGAAGUAGGAAGAUAAAGUAAAGAAAAU